rnacentral:rRNA from 1 species
GAUGAACGCUGGCGGCGUGCCUAAUACAUGCAAGUCGAGCGAACAGACGAGGAGCUUGCUCCUCUGACGUUAGCGGCGGACGGGUGAGUAACACGUGGAUAACCUACCUAUAAGACUGGGAUAACUUCGGGAAACCGGAGCUAAUACCGGAUAAUAUAUUGAACCGCAUGGUUCAAUAGUGAAAGACGGUUUUGCUGUCACUUAUAGAUGGAUCCGCGCCGCAUUAGCUAGUUGGUAAGGUAACGGCUUACCAAGGCGACGAUGCGUAGCCGACCUGAGAGGGUGAUCGGCCACACUGGAACUGAGACACGGUCCAGACUCCUACGGGAGGCAGCAGUAGGGAAUCUUCCGCAAUGGGCGAAAGCCUGACGGAGCAACGCCGCGUGAGUGAUGAAGGUCUUCGGAUCGUAAAACUCUGUUAUUAGGGAAGAACAAAUGUGUAAGUAACUAUGCACGUCUUGACGGUACCUAAUCAGAAAGCCACGGCUAACGACGUG